rnacentral:rRNA from 1 species
GACGAACGCUGGCGGCGUGCUUAACACAUGCCAGUCGAACGGAAAGGCCCUGCUUUUGUGGGGUUCUCGAGUGGCGAACGGGUGAGUAACACGUGAGUAACCUGCCCUUGAAUUUGGGAUAACUUCUGGAAACUGGGGCUAAUACCGCAUAGGAGCUCCUGCUCCACGGUGGUGGUUGGAAAGUUUCGGCGGUUGGGGAUGGACUCGCGGCUUCUGCGCUUGUUGGUGUGGUAGUGGAUUACCAAGCCUUUGACGGGUAGCCGGCCUGAGAGGGUAGACGGGCACAAGAGGACUAAGGGAGGGACCAGACGCCUACGGGAGGCAGCAGUGGAAAAUCUGACGCAACGGGCGGACGCGUGAUACGACGGCGUCGCGUGCGGAAUGACGGGCUUCGGGGGGUGAACCGCUUUCGCCGGUGACGAAGCGGGAGUGACGGUAAUGGGUAAAGAAGCACCGGCUAACUACGUG